UACGUAAGGAGCAAGCGUUAUCCGGAAUUAUUGGGUGUAAAGCGUCCACAGGUGGUCGGGUAAGUCUGUCAUUAAAGACCGGUGCUCAACAUCGGCAAUGUGAUGGAAACUGUUCGACUAGAGGAUGGGAGAGGCAUAUGGAAUUGCGCAAGUAGGGGUAAAAUCCGUAGAUAUGCGCAGGAACACCAAAAGCGAAGGCAGUAUGCUGGACCAUUCCUGACACUCAAGGACGAAAGCGUGGGGAUCAAAACGG
rnacentral:rRNA from 1 species